rnacentral:misc_RNA from 1 species
GAUGAAGAACGUAGCGAAAUGCGAUACGUAAUGAGAAUUGCAGAAUUCAGUGAAUCAUCGAGUCUUUGAACGCACAUUGCGCCCUCUGGUAUUCCGGAGGGCAUGCCUGUCCGAGCGUCAUUGCUGCCCUCAAGCACGGCUUGUGUGUUGGGCCCCGUCCUCCUUCCGGGGGACGGGUCCGAAAGGCAGCGGCGGCACCGCGUCCGGUCCUCAAGCGUAUGGGGCUUUGUCACUCGCUUUGUAGGCCUGGCCGGCGCUUGCCGAUCAACCAAACUUUUUAUCAGGUUGACCUCGGAUCAGGUAGGGAUACCCGCUGAACUUAAGCAUAUCAAUAAGCGGAGGA